GGUCUUCAUAAGAUCUGUAGACAUUGUUUAUUCAUCAGGUAUUUGAUGUGAAAGUGAUAUUGUAUGGAUAUGACAUCUUGCCUUGACAGUUUACUUUCACAAUGUUUUCUGUUUUCUUGCAGUGUAAUCUGUUUUCUCUCUGGGCUUGACGAUUGUUUCUCUGGAUGUGUCUGCUACAAGGUGGAUUCGUUGGUUUCCUUGCUCUCCUGC